rnacentral:piRNA from 1 species
UCCUACCCAAUGGGUUCAUGCUCUGUCUGC